GAUGAACGCUAGCGGCAGGCCUAAUACAUGCAAGUCGAACGGGAUCUGAGGGUAGCUUGCUACCCGAUUUGAGAGUGGCGCACGGGUGCGUAACGCGUGAGCAACCUACCCAUAUCAGGGGGAUAGCCCGAAGAAAUUCGGAUUAACACCGCAUAAUAAUACGCUAACACAUGUUGAUGUAUUUAAAUAUUUAUAGGAUAUGGAUGGGCUCGCGUGACAUUAGCUAGUUGGUAAGGUAACGGCUUACCAAGGCGACGAUGUCUAGGGGCUCUGGGAAGAGAAUCCCCCACACUGGUACUGAGACACGGACCAGACUCCUACGGGAGGCAGCAGUAAGGAAUAUUGGUCAAUGGGCGCAAGCCUGAACCAGCCAUGCCGCGUGCAGGAUGACUGCCCUAUGGGUUGUAAACUGCUUUUGUUAGGGAAUAAACCUUCUUACGUGUAAGGAGCUGAAUGUACCUAAAGAAUAAGGAUCGGCUAACUCCGUGCCAGCCGCCGCGGUAACAC
rnacentral:rRNA from 1 species